rnacentral:rRNA from 1 species
AGGAUCGGCUAACUCCGUGCCAGCAGCCGCGGUAAUACGGAGGAUCCAAGCGUUAUCCGGAAUCAUUGGGUUUAAAGGGUCCGUAGGCGGACUAAUAAGUCAGAGGUGAAAUCCUGCAGCUCAACUGUAGAACUGCCUUUGAUACUGUUUGUCUUGAGUUAUUAUGAAGUGGUUAGAAUGUGUAGUGUAGCGGUGAAAUGCAUAGAUAUUACACAGAAUACCGAUUGCGAAGGCAGAUCACUAAUAAUUAACUGACACUGAUGGACGAAAGCGUGGGUAGCGAACAGGAUUAGAUACCCUGGUAGUCCACGCCGUAAACGAUGGUCACUAGCUGUUUGGACUUCGGUCUGAGUGGCUAAGCGAAAGUGAUAAGUGACCCACCUGGGGAGUACGUUCGCAAGAAUGAAACUCAAAUGAAUUGACGG